rnacentral:rRNA from 1 species
AUUGAACGCUGGCGGCAUGCUUUACACAUGCAAGUCGAACGGUAACAGGCCGCAAGGUGCUGACGAGUGGCGAACGGGUGAGUAAUGCAUCGGAACGUGCCCAGUCGUGGGGGAUAACGCAGCGAAAGCUGCGCUAAUACCGCAUACGAUCUCUGGAUGAAAGCGGGGGACCGAAAGGCCCCGCGCGAUUGGAGCGGCCGAUGUCAGAUUAGGUAGUUGGUGGGGUAAAGGCCCACCAAGCCGACGAUCUGUAGCUGGUCUGAGAGGACGACCAGCCACACUGGGACUGAGACACGGCCCAGACUCCUACGGGAGGCAGCAGUGGGGAAUUUUGGACAAUGGGCGCAAGCCUGAUCCAGCAAUGCCGCGUGCAGGAAGAAGGCCUUCGGGUUGUAAACUGCUUUUGUACGGAACGAAACGGUCCGGGUUAAUACCCUGGGCUAAUGACGGUACCGUAAGAAUAAGCACCGGCUAACUACGUGCCAGCCGCCGCCGUAAAAC